AUUUAUAAAUUUAAACUUCAUGAAUAUUUAUUUAAAAUUAUGUACAUUUUUUUAAAAUUUAAGAAUAUUUUAUGAAAUACAUAAUCCUUUUCAAACUACAAUUAUUUUUGAAAUAUGUGUUUUUUAAAACACAAACAUUUUUCGACGAUUAUAGAACAUUUCUGAAUUUCGUAUUUUUAUAAAUUCCAUGAUUGUAUAAAUUCGUAAGCAGUUUUAUAAACAAGAACAUCUGUUUACACCUAUGAACAUUUUUUUAAUUCAAGAUCAUUUGUGAAAAUUCACAAACAGUUUUAUAGUUCAUGUAAAAUACUGCAUUUGAAUCUUCCUGUUACAUAUUUUUAAAAUCUAACGACAUAAGCAAGAUAGCUAUUUUUUGGGAUUUAAACUGACGGAAAACUGGGUAAAAAAGAGAAAGAAAAUUGGGAGCGAUCUGGGCCACGUGACUCAACAAGGAAAGCUUUUUUCCUUGUGCGUUUUGGCAUCAAUAACAUUACAGUAAGCGACUUAUAAGAGGAAUCAAGAGCUAUAUUGCAACGGAUAAGCAAAGGGAGCUCCUAAAUGAUGCUAUGUGUUUCUAGUGAUUUUAUAUGCUUUUACAGGUUUUCACUUUUCCCUAAAAAGAAAAUAUUUAUUUAUUUCAAAUAAAACUAAAAUACAUAAAAUUUGUCAAAAUUUUGUAAACAAAUUGUGUACAGUUUUUAAAAUUGUCAACAUUUUACGAAACGCUCACGUCUCUUUAGACUACAGAUAGGAAGGGUUUCCCUAACUUAUAGAGCUGGAAUUACUGUACAACUUUAUAACAAUAUAACGAGCAAGUCUACCAAGCUAUUCCUAGUUCUGGACACAUCAUCUUUUACACUGCAAUAGCUGGCGAACGUUCGUUGGGAGGGGUUAGCAUUUGCAAACGUUUUAGAUGGCAAGUUUACUUCUAUGGGGUAGGCAUCUUUUGGGAAGAAGAGAAGUUUCGUGGCAAAAAACAACAGCAUUUUCUGUCUCUUACCAACUAAACUUGCCAAAAAAACGGCUGCUUGUCAUCCUCCUACAACUGACGUUUGACAGAUAACAUUACCGUUCUAAAAUGCAUCAACCAUGCACACUCUGUGUCCCGGAUUAGUUGCCUUCUAUAAGGGAAAUUGGAUUAUUAGUUUGAUGCAGUGUUGGCCACACACAUCACUCGCCUUAAUAUAUUCAUAUUCAGUAAUACAUGUAUCAAUCAAAGAUUUUAAAUCUCAACGACCAUUAACAACAAAGACUUUGUAAAGAUAUAUUUUAGGAUGGGGCGAAGCUAUUCUAUAUCGGCAGUAAUUAAUUAGAUAUGUAUAUACACCAAAUAUUGGAAGCAAUUAAGAAGAUUACGCGUAAUAGGGACGCAUAUGUGUGAUAUAAAAAGUAUUUUAGGGUACCAAUUAAUUAAAAUAUGAAAAUUUAGGAGGCAAUGAAUAAAAGGUUAUCCGAGAAAAUAUAUUCUGCAUGUCAUGUAACUAUUAUAAUAGUGAUAUCUGCGGGCAUAACCAAACUUUAGAUAUAUAUAAACAAAAUAAAUGUGGGAAAUAAUAAAAGGCAGGAAUGAAUCUAAGAGAUUUUAUAUUAUAUAUAAACUACAAGGUCAACCUGUCUUGAACAAAAUAAAAUACAAACCAUCUCUCAUGGCACAUAUCAAGAACACGGCAACAGCUCUAUGCUUGGUAGGUCUUGUGAUGAUGUCUACCACUCUAUUAUCAUGUCACGCAGAUAAAAAACCAAUCCCCAUCAUCGAUUACUGUAUUCAUUUUGUAAGCUGCCACAAAGAUCAUGCAUCCGAAGAGGCGUGCCUGAAUCACUGCAAGUUUUUUGGACACAAUAAAGCCCACUGCGUACCGGAUGGUGGUGGCAUUUGCUGCUGCGAUGUUUGAACGCCAUACAAGUAAUGGGUAGAAAGUAUUCUUGUGCUCAAGACGUUCAGGCGUGUAAGAUCGGGCCAAUUAGUACACAUGUGCACUAUGGAUCGAUCUGAUUCAUGCGAAAGAAAACAUCAAUAAACCAUUGUUUGUACCGAA